CUCGCCUCGCCGCGGGGAAACCGGAGGGUUCGGCCUCUCACCGCCCCAUGGAGGACGAGCCCCGGGCAGCCCUCGGCCCCUUCGCCAGAGACUUUGCGUCAACAGUCGACAAACUGCGCCUCGUUGCGCCGCUCAACUACGGGCGGUCCCGCACCGUCAGCCGCCACUGUGACCCCGCUGACCCCAG